rnacentral:misc_RNA from 1 species
AGAGUUUGUAACACCCAAAGUCGGUGGGGUAACCUUUUAGGAGCCAGCCGCCUAAGGUGGGACAGAUGAUUAGGGUGAAGUCGUAACAAGGUAGCCGUAGGAGAACCUGCGGCUGGAUCACCUCCUUUCUAAGGAAUUAAUCGGGAACCCUACACAUUGUCGAAACAGUGGUCCAGUUUUGAGGGGGUUACCCUCUUCAGCUUGGACCUUGAAACUAAUUAUUAUCCAUUUCCUAUUUAAAAUCCAAGGAAACCCGGAAAACCCCGGGCGUAUUUGAGUUUUAACCGAUUAUAUUCGCUUCUCACUUACCUUGACUGAUCCUACCGAUCCAGUAAGGGUUAAGUUAUGAAGGGCGCCAUGGUGAAUGCCUUGGGUACUAGGAGCCCGAUGAAGGACGGGACUAACACCGAUAUGCUUCGGGGAGCGGUAAGUACGCUUUGAUCCGGAGAUGUCCGAAUGGGGAAACCCAAUCAUCUUAGUCGAUGAUUACUUGAGCAGUGAAUUCAUAGCUGCCAAGAGGUAG